rnacentral:tRNA from 1 species
GCCAGCAUGGCAUAGUGGUUUGAGUGUUGGACUGCAACUCUGGAAACCAGGGUUCAAUUCCCAACUUGGCC